rnacentral:rRNA from 1 species
ACGAACGCUGGCGGCGUGCUUAACACAUGCAAGUCGAACGGUGAAGCGCCUUCCUUUUUGGUGGGUGUGGAUGAGUGGCGAACGGGUGAGUAACACGUGAGUAACCUGCCCCCUUCUUCUGGAUAACCGCAUGAAAGUGUGGCUAAUACGGGAUAUUCUGGGUCUGUCGCAUGAUGGGUCUGGGAAAGAUAUUGUUUCGGUGGGGGAUGGGCUCGCGGCCUAUCAGCUUGUUGGUGGGGUGAUGGCCUACCAAGGCGGUGACGGGUAGCCGGCCUGAGAGGGUGGACGGUCACACUGGGACUGAGACACGGCCCAGACUCCUACGGGAGGCAGCAGUGGGGAAUAUUGCACAAUGGGCGCAAGCCUGAUGCAGCGACGCCGCGUGAGGGAUGGAGGCCUUCGGGUUGUGAACCUCUUUCGCCAGUGAAGCAGGCCUGCCUCGUUUGUGGGUGGGUUGACGGUAGCUGGAUAAGAAGCGCCGGCUAACUGCGUG